rnacentral:tRNA from 1 species
GAAAAUGACCGGUCAAAACGGAAUCAAUUAACUAUGGAUAGCUGAUACUAUCAAUUUAUCAUUACUCA